GAUGAACGCUCGCUACAGGCUUAACACAUGCAAGUCGAGGGGAAACGACAUCGAAAGCUUGCUUUUGAUGGGCGUCGACCGGCGCACGGGUGAGUAACGCGUAUCCAACCUGCCCAUCACUUGGGAAUAACCUUGCGAAAGUAAGACUAAUACCCAAUGACAUCCCACGAAGACAUCUGAAUGGGAUUAAAGAUUUAUCGGUGAUGGAUGGGGAUGCGUCUGAUUAGCUUGUUGGCGGGGUAACGGCCCACCAAGGCAACGAUCAGUAGGGGUUCUGAGAGGAAGGUCCCCCACAUUGGAACUGAGACACGGUCCAAACUCCUACGGGGGGCAGCAGUGAGGAAUAUUGGUCAAUGGGCGAGAGCCUGAACCAGCCAAGUAGCGUGCAGGAUGACGGCCCUAUGGGUGGUAAACUGCUUUUAUAAGGGAAUAAAGUGGGUCUCGUGAGACUUUUUGCAUGUACCUUAUGAAUAAGGACCGGCUAAUUCCGUG
rnacentral:rRNA from 1 species